AGUGAACGCUGGCGGCGUGCCUAACACAUGCAAGUCGAACGCGAAAGUAAUCUUCGGAUUGCGAGUAGAGUGGCAGACGGGUGAGUAAAGCAUAGGAAAUCUACCUACGAGUGGGGAAUAACUAGCCGAAAGGCUAGCUAAUACCGCAUAAUGUUAUGUUGCUUAAGUAACAUAAACAAAGGGGGGGGCUCUUUUAGACCUCUCGCUUGUGGAUGAGCUUAUGUCCUAUUAGAUAGUUGGUAGGGUAAUGGCCUACCAAGUCGAUGAUGGGUAGCCGAGCUGAGAGGCUGAUCGGCCACACUGGUACUGGAACACGGACCAGACUCCUACGGGAGGCAGCAGUGGGGAAUUUUGCGCAAUGGGCGAAAGCCUGACGGAGCAAGACCGCGUGGGGGAGGAAGGUUUUGGAUCGUAACCCUUUGUCAAGGAGAAGCUCUGACGGUACUUGACAAUAAGCCU
rnacentral:rRNA from 1 species